UCUCCAGUAGCUCAGGGGUAGAGCAAAUGGCUGUUAACCAUUUGGUCGUUGGUUCAAUUCCAACUUGGGGAG
rnacentral:tRNA from 1 species